GAAGUUAUAGUUAAAUUAAUAAUAAAUAGUUUGAAACUAUUGGUUGGUAUGGUUACCUGCUUCU
rnacentral:tRNA from 1 species